UACGAAGGUGGCAAGCGUUACUCGGAAUUACUAGGCGUAAAGGGCAGGUAGGCGGUUCGGUAAGUCUGUUGUGAAAGCUCCUGGCUUAACUGGGAGAGGUCAACGGAAACUGCCGGACUUGAGUGUAGGAGAGGGUACUGGAAUUCCCGGUGUAGCGGUGAAAUGCGCAGAGAUCGGGAGGAACACCAACGGCGAAAGCAGGUACCUGGACUAUUACUGACGCUCAGCUGCGAAAGCUAGGGGAGCAAACAGG
rnacentral:rRNA from 1 species